GACGGAAGACGUCUUGCCGAUGGUGCUUCCAUUCCCUCCGCCUCCACCAAAAAACAACGCA
rnacentral:sRNA from 1 species